UCGCAAGGACAAAAGCCAAACACCGCAUGUUCUCACUCAAAGAAGAGAACCAUCUUAAAACCAUGAGGUGACAUCCAUGAGGACAAAGACUUCCUGCUUGUUCUUGAGCCACUGAGGGUACCUCUGAGUUGCUGUACCACCCAGAAAAUGCUAUCCCUGAACUUCUUGUUGACUGAGACAAAUAAACCCCUUAUUUAAACCA
rnacentral:lncRNA from 1 species